UUCUAGGAACUAUCGAGGGUUCGAAUCCCUCUCUCUCCU
rnacentral:tRNA from 1 species